UACGUAGGGUGCGAGCGUUGUCCGGAAUUAUUGGGCGUAAAGAGCUUGUAGGCGGUUUGUCGCGUCUGCUGUGAAAUCUCAAGGCUCAACCUUGAGCUUGCAGUGGGUACGGGCAGACUAGAGUGUGGUAGGGGAGACUGGAAUUCCUGGUGUAGCGGUGAAAUGCGCAGAUAUCAGGGAGGAACGACCGGUGGGCGAAAGGCGGUGGUCUGGGCCGGGAACUGACGCUGGAGGAGCGAAAGCCGUGGGGAGCGAACAGG
rnacentral:rRNA from 1 species